rnacentral:rRNA from 1 species
UACGGAGGGUGCAAGCGUUAUCCGGAUUCACUGGGUUUAAAGGGUGCGUAGGCGGGUUGGUAAGUCCGUGGUGAAAUCUCCGAGCUUAACUCGGAAACUGCCGUGGAUACUAUCAAUCUUGAAUAUCGUGGAGGUAAGCGGAAUAUGUCAUGUAGCGGUGAAAUGCUUAGAUAUGACAUAGAACACCAAUUGCGUAGGCAGCUCACAAAGCCAUUAUUGACGCUGAGGCACGAAAGCGUGGGGAUCAAACAGG